rnacentral:rRNA from 1 species
AACGAACGCUGGCGGCAUGCCUAACACAUGCAAGUCGAACGAGAUCUUCGGGUCUAGUGGCGCACGGGUGCGUAACGCGUGGGAAUCUGCCCUUUGGUUCGGAAUAACAGUUGGAAACGACUGCUAAUACCGGAUGAUGACGAAAGUCCAAAGAUUUAUCGCCAGAGGAUGAGCCCGCGUAGGAUUAGCUAGUUGGUGUGGUAAAGGCGCACCAAGGCGACGAUCCUUAGCCGGUCUGAGAGGAUGAUCAGCCACACUGGGACUGAGACACGGCCCAGACUCCUACGGGAGGCAGCAGUGGGGAAUAUUGGACAAUGGGCGAAAGCAUGAUCCAGCAAUGCCGCGUGAGUGAUGAAGGCCUGAGGGUUGUAAAGCUCUUUUACCCGGGAUGAUAAUGACAGUACCGGGAGAAUAAGCUCCGGCUAACUCCGUGCCAGCCGCCGCGGUAA